rnacentral:rRNA from 1 species
CCUACGGUAGGCAGCAGUGGGGAAUAUUGCACAAUGGGGGAAACCCUGCUGCAGCGACGCCGCGUGAGUGAAGAAGUAUUUCGGUAUGUAAAGCUCUAUCAGCAGGGAAGAAAUAGCGACCUUUGGGUCGCCAGACGGUACCUGACUAAGAAGCCCCGGCUAACUACGUGCCACCAGCCGCGGUAAUACGUAGGGGGCAAGCGUUAUCCGGAUUUACUGGGUGUAAAGGGAGCGUAGACGGCAGCACAAGUCUGAAGUGAAAUGCCGGGGCUUAACCCCGGAACUGCUUUGGAAACUGUGCAGCUAGAGUGCAGGAGAGGUAAGUGGAAUGCCUAGUGUAGCGGUGAAAUGCGUAGAUAUUAGGAGGAACACCAGUGGCGAAGGCGGCUUACUGGACUGUAACUGACGUUGAGGCUCGAAAGCGUGGGGAGCAAACAGGAUUAGAUACCCGGGUAGUC